rnacentral:rRNA from 1 species
CCUACGGGUGGCAGCAGUAGGGAAUCUUGCGCAAUGGGCGAAAGCCUGACGCAGCAACGCCGCGUGAUCGAGACGCCCUUCGGGGUGUAAAGAUCUGUCAGUGGUGACGAAACUUGACGGUACCCACAGUGGUAGCACCGGCUAACUCCGUGCCAGAAGCCGCGGUAAUACGGGGGGUGCAAGCGUUGUCCGGAAUCAUUGGGCGUAAAGAGUGCGUAGGCGGGAUGUAAAGUCUGGUGUUAAAGGCAGAGGCUCAACUUCAGUACGGCACUGGAUACUGGCGAGCUAGAAUGCGGUAGAGGUAGAGGGAAUUCCUGGUGUAGCGGUGAAAUGCUUAGAUAUCAGGAGGAACAUCGGUGGCGUAGGCGCUUUACUGGGCCGUAAUUGACGCUGAGGAACGAAAGCCAGGGUAGCAAAUGGGAUUAGAUACCCUUGUAGUC